rnacentral:lncRNA from 1 species
GUGGAGUAGGAAUAUUAAAUGCUGGCCUAGAUAUACAUGUAGUUAUCAUCGUUUUUUAUUGAUUUUUGUUGUUGAAAUAAGACUGUUAUGGUUAUGGUAGUGUUGUUUUCUAUUUGGAAUGGUGUUUUAUAUAUAGUUUUUUGUAAUAGUAAUGGUGUUUUUAUUUUUGUUCUUUUAGCUAUGGUGUUGUCUAUUUUAUUUGUCAUAAAUUUGUCUUUUUAGUAUUGACUAAUGGGUUAAAAUUGAACAUUGUUAUAACCUACCCUCAUUUUUUUUUCUAGAAAGAUCGGGGAUUCAACUAACAAUAUGCAAAGGUUAAGCAAUCAUUGCUUUUUUUUAGAGGAAGGCGUAACUACCGUAAGGGAGCUACCAUUUGAUUUUUAUGGGGGGGCUAGGAGGAAAAAAUUUGUCCUGCAUUCUUUUUUAGCUGUAAUCUCUGUCCUGCCUUUUUAUUUUUCACUCUGUUCGGUCCUGCCUUUUUUUUUAAAGUUUAUCCUGACUUUUUUUUUACCUAAAUUGUCGUCCUGACUUUUUGUUUUUGCAAGUGUCUCAUCCUGCCUUUUUUUUUUACUCAAAACUCCUGUCCUGCCUAUUUUUUCAAAUUUCAACCUAGCCCCCCC